GAUGAACGCUGGCGGCGUGCCUAAUACAUGCAAGUCGAGCGAACAGACGAGGAGCUUGCUCCUCUGACGUUAGCGGCGGACGGGUGAGUAACACGUGGAUAACCUACCUAUAAGACUGGGAUAACUUCGGGAAACCGGAGCUAAUACCGGAUAAUAUAUUGAACCGCAUGGUUCAAUAGUUAAAGACGGUUUUGCUGUCACUUAUAGAUUGAUCCGCGCCGCAUUAGCUAGUUGGUAAGGUAACGGCUUACCAAGGCAACGAUGCGUAGCCGACCUGAGAGGGUGAUCGGACACACUGGAACUGAGACACGGUCCAGACUCCUACGGGAGGAAGCAGUAAGGAAUCUUCCGCAAUGGGCGAAAGCCUGACGGAGCAACGCCGCGUGAGUGAUGAAGGUCUUAGGAUCGUAAAACUCUGUUAUUAGGGAAGAACAAAUGUGUAAGUAACUAUGCACGUAUUGACGGUACCUAAUCAGAAAGCCACGGCUAACUACGUG
rnacentral:rRNA from 1 species